rnacentral:rRNA from 1 species
UACGUAGGCAGCGAGCGUUGUUCGGAGUUACUGGGCGUAAAGGGUGCGUAGGCGGUUGUUUAAGUUUGGUGUGAAAUCUCCCGGCUCAACUGGGAGGGUGCGCCGAAUACUGAAUGACUAGAGUGCGGGAGAGGAGAGUGGAAUUCCUGGUGUAGCGGUGAAAUGCGUAGAUAUCAGGAGGAACACCUGUGGCGAAAGCGGCGCACUGGACCACAACUGACGCUGAGGCGCGAAAGCUAGGGGAGCAAACAGG